GCCCGGCUAGCUCAGUUGGUAGAGCAUUCGACUCUUACAGGGUUUGUCACUUCCACGGAAACGACAUCGAAUUGUCGUGGGUUCGAGCCCCACGUUGGGCG
rfam:Puccinia graminis f. sp. tritici CRL 75-36-700-3 supercont2.59 genomic scaffold, whole genome shotgun sequence.